rfam:Camelus ferus unplaced genomic scaffold scaffold1421, whole genome shotgun sequence.
GGACAUAGUUCAGCAGUAGAGCACAUGCUUAGCAUGCGUGAGGUCCUGGGUUCAAUCCCUAGUACUUCCG